rnacentral:rRNA from 1 species
UACGGAGGGCGCAAGCGUUAUCCGGAUUCACUGGGUUUAAAGGGUGCGUAGGAGGGCAGGUAAGUCAGUGGUGAAAUCUCCAAGCUUAACUUGGAAACUGCCGUUGAUACUAUCUGUCUUGAAUACCGUGGAGGUGAGCGGAAUAUGUCAUGUAGCGGUGAAAUGCUUAGAUAUGACAUAGAACACCAAUUGCGAAGGCAGCUCGCUACACGAAUAUUGACGCUGAGGCACGAAAGCGUGGGGAUCAAACAGG